rnacentral:rRNA from 1 species
UAGGGAAUCUUCCGCAAUGGACGCAAGUCUGACGGAGCAACGCCGCGUGAGUGAAGAAGGAUUUCGGUUCGUAAAACUCUGUUGUUAGAGAAGAACAGCGCAUAGAGUAACUGUUAUGCGUGUGACGGUAUCUAACCAGAAAGCCACGGCUAACUACGUGCCAGCAGCCGCGGUAAUACGUAGGUGGCAAGCGUUGUCCGGAUUUAUUGGGCGUAAAGAGAGCGCAGGCGGUCAAUUAAGUCUGAUGUGAAAGCCCCCGGGUCAAACGUCGAGAGUCAUUGGAAACUGGUUUACUUGAAUGCAGAAGAGGAGAGUUGAAUUCCAUGUUUUGCGGUGAAAUGCGUAAGUAUAUGGAGGAACACCAGUGGCGAAAGCCACUCACUUGUCUGUAACUGACGCUGAGGCUCGAAAACGUGGGUAGCAAACAAG